AGGGAUUGCCUUAGUAACGGCGAGUGAAGCGGCAAUAGCUCAAAUUUGAAAGCUGGCGUCUUCGACGUCCGCGUUGUAAUUUGUAGAGGAUGCUUCGGCGAAGACUCCUGCCUAAGUCCCCUGGAACGGGGCGUCAUAGAGGGUGAGAAUCCCGUAUGUGGCGGGCAGUCUAAGCCAUGUGAAGCUCCUUCGACGAGUCGAGUUGUUUGGGAAUGCAGCUCUAAAUGGGAGGUAAAUUUCUUCUAAAGCUAAAUAUUGGCCAGAGACCGAUAGCGCACAAGUAGAGUGAUCGAAAGAUGAAAAGCACUUUGGAAAGAGAGUUAAAAAGUACGUGAAAUUGUUGAAAGGGAAGCGCUUGCAACCAGACUCGCUCGUAGUUGCUCAGCCGGCCUCUUGGCCGGUGUACUCUUCUACGAUCGGGCCAGCAUCAGUUCGGGCGGCAGGAUAAAGGUGUCGGGAAUGUAGCACCCUUCGGGGUGUGUUAUAGCCCGGCGCGGAAUGCUGCCAGCCUGGACUGAGGAUCUCGCUUCGGCAAGGAUGCUGGCGUAAUGGUUGUAAGCGGCCCGUCUUGAAACACGGACCAAGGAGUCUAACAUCUAUGCGAGUGUUUGGGUGUCAAACCCAUGCGCGUAAUGAAAGUGAACGGAGGUGGGAACCCCUCACGGGGUGCACCAUCGACCGAUCCUGAUGUCUUCGGAUGGAUUUGAGUAAGAGCAUAGCUGUUGGGACCCGAAAGAUGGUGAACUAUGCCUGAAUAGGGUGAAGCCAGAGGAAACUCUGGUGGAGGCUCGCAGCGGUUCUGACGUGCAAAUCGAUCGUCAAAUUUGGGUAUAGGGGCGAAAGACUAAUCGAC
rnacentral:rRNA from 1 species